UAUAAAGUGGCGAACGGCUGAGUAACACGUGGGCAACCUGCCCUUUGCACUGGGAUAGCCUCGGGAAACCGAGGUUAAUACCGGAUACUCCAUAUUUGUCGCAUGGCGAAUAUGGGAAAGCUCCGGCGGCAAAGGAUGGGCCCGCGGCCUGUUAGCUAGUUGGUGGGGUAGUGGCCUACCAAGGCAAUGAUGGGUAGCCGGGUUGAGAGACCGACCGGCCAGAUUGGGACUGAGACACGGCCCAGACUCCUACGGGAGGCAGCAGGC
rnacentral:rRNA from 1 species